GGAGGGCUGUAGCUCAGUGGUAGGGCAUCUGCUUUGCAUGCAGAAGGUCCUAGGUUCAAUCCCCAUCAUCUCCA